CCCGCUCGCCGGAAGACCAAGGGUUCCUGUCCAACGUUAAUCGGGGCAGGGUGAGUCGACCCCUAAGGCGAGGCCGAAAGGCGUAGUCGAUGGGAAACAGGUUAAUAUUCCUGUACUUGGUGUUACUGCGAAGGGGGGACGGAGAAGGCUAUGUUGGCCGGGCGACGGUUGUCCCGGUUUAAGCGUGUAGGCUGGUUUUCCAGGCAAAUCCGGAAAAUCAAGGCUGAGGCGUGAUGACGAGGCACUACGGUGCUGAAGCAACAAAUGCCCUGCUUCCAGGAAAAGCCUCUAAGCAUCAGGUAACAUCAAAUCGUACCCCAAACCGACACAGGUGGUCAGGUAGAGAAUACCAAGGCGCUUGAGAGAACUCGGGUGAAGGAACUAGGCAAAAUGGUGCCGUAACUUCGGGAGAAGG
rnacentral:rRNA from 1 species